GGAGGUGUAGCUCUUUUGGUAGAGUGUGUGCCUAGCAUGCUCAAGGCUCUGGGUUCCAUCCCCAGCACCACUC
rnacentral:tRNA from 1 species